UAUCAUAGCUAGACAAAAGACAAUGUGUCAGCAAGGAUGCUGGGUCCCCAAGGGGGUGGAUUGUGAGAUCCCAUCUCCAACUGAGAGAGGAACGGAACAUUCCUUAUAUUUCAUUCCUUUUGAUAUUGACUGUGUUGCAAAUCAGAACAUUCAUGGUGUCUAUUAGUUUGGUUAGUUAAGUAAGGCAUACAAAAUGAAAAUGAUGCAGUGGUUUGUGUUAGCAGCUCUAGAACUAUUCCUUCUGCUUCAAAGCUCUGUCCUGGUCAGGCUGCAUAUCACUUUCUGGCUGGGUAUCAGAAUGGUAAAUUUGUGGCAGCAUUCCACAAAGGCCCUUCAUCUAUUGACCCAUUGGAACUGGCCAAGGCUUUACUGUGCAUGUUAAAAGAGCAGCAAAUCCCAUCCUUUCUAGUCAAUGCCAAAGGAAUGGAAAGUGGAAAGGAUCUUGUCACUCUAGUGGAGUCAGCUCUAUCCAUGAACAUCCCACCCUUUCAAACUGAAGGUGGUGAACUUAAGAGAAGGUACAAAAGCUUUGUAAGUGAAAAAUAUCAACAAUUGCCUGAGGAUUUUUCCUUCUGAAGGUGACCAUCGCAUUCCUUUCUUGUAGUUUAUAGUAUUCAAUUUGUUAGUGGCAAGCAAUUGGGUAGCUUUUUCGAUACGUGUCAUUUUCGAGGUAGGUAGUUACCGUUCACAAAUAGGCAUUGGAUUUUUUGGAUACAUCAAUUCAUACUCUAAAAGUAUGUGGUUCAAUAAGAAAGUGAUGAAUAUGAGUAGCUAGAUUAUUAAAAGACUAUCGUCCUUCUGUAUCAAUCUCUUCUGGGUCAUACCAAUCCAUUUCACAUCCGAUAUGUUAUAAAACAA